GUCCAUCUCUGUCAUCAGGGCAGGAUGGACACUAACUACAUCCACUGUCCAUCUUUGUCACAGGACAGGACAGCCAGGAGACAGGACAGCCAGGAGACAGGACAACCAGGAGACAGGACAGGCAGGAGACAGGACAGCCAGGAGACAGGACAGCCAGGAGACAGGACAACCAGAGACAGGACAGCCAGGAGACAGGACAGCCAGGAGACAGGACAGUCAGGAGACAGGACAGCCAGGAGACAGGACAGCCAGGAGACAGGACAGCCAGGAGACAGGACAGCCAGGAGACAGGACAGUCAGGAGACAGGACAGCCAGGAGAGAGGACAGCCAGGAGACAGGACAGGCAGGAGACAGGACAGGCAGGAGACAGAACAGGCAGGAGACAGGACAGCCAGGAGACAGGACAGCCAGGAGACAGGACAGCCAGGAGACAGGACAGCCAGACCUGCAUAAAUAACAGAGGUUAGGUCCCUAAUUGCUCCAUAUUCCCCAUAUAGUGCACUACUUUUGACCAGGGUCUCCAGGGAAUAGGGUGCCAUUUAGGAUGCAAACGGUGCUAUGCUAAUCAGGCAUCCCACCCGGUGUGGUUGUGAUUUUUUCUUCUGGGGGAUUUGUUUACUGGCGGAUAAUUGAUGGUGCUUGAGGGACAGGCGUGAGUUGGACAUGAAUCACGGGGCGACGCGCCGUGAUAAGGAGCUGAAAGUCGUCCGUAAUUAAGCAGGGCACUAGAGACCAAUUGUUUGCAGAAUGAUUUGGCCGCCGGCUAAUUGACACUAAUUGUUUAAUCUGAUUUUUUCCCCCUCACAACACCGUUAACUAAAAGUCAGGCCACUCUCUUGUGCACUCAUCCACAGCACUGUGCAUUAAUACAGCAGAGGCUCACACAGUGGGGAACCCUAUUCCCUAUAUAAUGCACCUCUUUUGUCAAGUUUCUUGUCAAAAGUAGUGCACUAUAUAGGGAAUAGGGUGCAAUUUGGGACACAAUCACUGUGUUAUGAUGAUAGGUGGUGUUUGGGGGGGGGGGUGAGAUAGAAGGUGGAUCAGAUCAUGAUGUACUGUUCAUUCGGAAAGGAUUCAGACCCCUUGACUUUUUCCACAUUUUGUUAUGUCACAGCUUCAUUCUAUAAUGUAUGAAAUUGUUUUCCCCCUCUCAUCAAUCUACACAUAAUAGCCCAUAAUGACAAAGCAAAAACAGAUAUUUAGAAAUGUUUGCUACUCCCGGGUGGCACAGUGGUUAAGGGCGCUGUACUGCAGCGCCAGCUGUGCCAUCAGAGACUCUGGGUUCGCGCCCAGGCUCUGUCGUAACCGGCCACGACCGGGAGGUCCGUGGGGUGACGCACAAUUGGCCUAGCGUCAUCCGGGUUAGGGAGGGCUUGGCCGGUAGGGAUGUCCUUGUCUCAUCGCGCACCAGUGACUCCAGUGGCGGGCCGGGCGCAGUGCGCGCUAACCAAUGUUGCCAGGUGCACAGUGUUUCCUCCGACACAUUGGUGCGGCUGGCUUCCGGGUUGGAUGUGCGCUGUGUUAAGAAGCAGUGCGGCUUGGUUGGGUCGUGUAUCGGAGGACGCAUGACUUUCAACCUUCGUCUCUCCCGAGCCGCUGCAUGGUUAUUUUCAGGUCUCUCCAGAGAUGUUUGAUGGGUUUCAAUUCCGGGCUCUGGCUGGGCCACUCAAGGACAUUCAGAGACUUGUCACGAAGCCACUCCUGCGUUGUCUUGGCUGUGUGCUUAGGGUUGUUGUCCUGUUGGAAGGUGAACCUUCGCCCCAGUCUGAGGUCCUGAGCGCUCUGAAGCAGGUUUUCAUCAAGGAUCUCUCUGUACUUUGCUUCUUUCAUCUUUCCCUCGAUCCUGACUAGUCUCCCAGUCUCUGCUGCUAAAAAACAUCCCCAAAGCAUGAUGCUGCCACCACCAUGCUUCACCGUAGGGAUGGUGCUAUGUUUCCUCCAGAUGUGAAACUUGGCAUUCAGGCCAAAGAGUUCAAUCUGGGUUUCAUCAGACCAGAAAAUUGUUUCUCAUUGUCUGAGGCCUUUAGGUACCUUUUGGCAAACUUUUGGCAAACUCCAAGCGGGCAGUUUUACUGAGGAGUGCCUUCCAUCUGGCCACUCUACCAUAAAGCUCUGAUUGGUGGAGUGCUGCAGAGAUGGUUGUCCUUCUGGAAGUGUCUUCCAUCUCCACAGAGAAACUCUGGAGCUCUGUCAGAGUGACCAUCGGGUUGUUGGUCACCUCCCUGACCAAGGCCUUUCUCCCCCUAUUGCUCAGUUAGGCUGGGCGACCAGCUCUAAGAAGAGUCUUGGUGGUUCAAAACUUCUUCCAUUUAAGAAUGAUGGAGGCCACUGUGUUCUUGAGGACCUUCAAUGCUGCAGAAAUGUUUUGGUACCCUUCCCUAGAUCUGUGCCUCGACACAAUCCUGUCUCUGUGCUCUACGAACAAUUCCUUCGACCUCAUGGCUUGGUUUUUGUUCUGACAUGUACUGUCAACUGUGGGACCUUAUACAGACAGGUGUGUGCCUUUCCAAAUCAUGUCCAAUCAAUUGAAUGUAGCACAAGUGGACUCCAAUCAGGUUCUAGAAACAUCUCAUGGAUGAAUACUGGAAACAGGAUGCACCUGAGCUCAAUAUUGAGUCUCACUGCAAAGGGUCUGAAUACUUAAGUAAAUGUGAUUUUUCAUUUAUUUGUAAUUUUUUAUUUGCACAAAUUCUAAAAGUCUGUUUUUCCGUUGUCAUUGUGGGGUGUUGUGUAUAUAUUGAUAAGGAUUUUUUUUAUUUAAUCAAUUUUAGAAUAAGGCUGUAACGUAAUAAAAUGUGGAAAAAGUCAAGGGGUCUGAAUAGUUCCCGAAUGCACUGUAUAAUCAUCCCAUUUUCUUAUCUAAAAAAAAAGAUCAGUAAGAAAAGACUGAUCAAAUUAAGAUCCUACAUCUGUAGUUGAUUUAUCGCAUUGAGAGAAGGCUUACAAAUUAACAAUGUUAAUCCCCUCCUCCUCCCCUCCUCCACUAUUUUGUCUGAAUGACAUAUACUGGUUUUUAAUAGCAGCAAUACUUUAUAAUUAAGGGGUCAACAUUACAGUAAAGGAACAUAUUUUAUGGCUCAUUAACCAAAAAUAUUAGGGCGGAGACUAGGCUAUCACAACGGAGACUAGGCUACCACAACGGAGACUAGGCUAUCACAACGGAGACUAGGCUACCACAACGGAGACUAGGCUAUCACAACGGAAACUAGGCUAUCACAACAGAGACUAGGCUAUCACAACGGAGACUAGGCUAUCACAACGGAGACUAGGCUAUCACAACAGAGACUAGGCUAUCACAACGGAGACUAGGCUAUCACAACGGAAACUAGGCUAUCACAACAGAGACUAGGCUAUCACAACGGAGACUAGGCUAUCACAACGGAGACUAGGCUAUCACAACAGAGACUAGGCUAUCACAACGGAGACUAGGCUAUCACAACGGAGACUAGGCUAUCACAAUGGAGACUAGGCUAUCACAACGGAGACUAGGCUAUCACAACGGAGACUAGGCUAUCACAACGGAGACUAGGCUAUCACAACGGAGACUAGGCUAUCACAACGGAGACUAGGCUAUCACAACGGAGACUAGGCUAUCACAACGGAGACUAGGCUAUCACAACGGAGACUAGGCUAUGUUGUAAAGGGAUGUUUGCAAUCAUGUCAACUCUACCCAUACAGUAUAUGGGUCAUAGAGAUUCUAUGGUAUACAGUAUUACAGCAUUCUCCUUCUAUCCUAUAAGUGAAUGACAUGAUCUUUAUCGUCUGGGUAGUAAGUACAGAAACCCUCAGGACUGUUGUUUUGAUAAAUACAGGACUUGAAAACACUAAGAAUAUGGGAUUUGACACCUGGUUAUUGAGGAUGAAGGACAAUGGAUAUAUUUCUGAUAUAUUUCAUGCUGUGUCACGAGAGUGGGUAUUGAGAAGACACCUCAUUAUUACAGAGCUAUAGCCUUUAUGUUGCAUUCGUGUGCUUUUGGGAAGUGGGAAACUUGGAAUUGGGAAGUCAUUAGUAUGACUUGAUUGUGUUCAAGUGCUUUUGAAGUCAGACCAAUUCUUCAACCAAUACGAUUUUAGCUAGCUUGAUAAGCUAGCUAACAUUGCUAAUAAUAAAGUUAGCUAGCUUACUUAACAUUGACAAUAUGGUUAAACUAGCUACAUUAUCCACAUUGCUAAGUUUGUUAUUGUCAAAAACAGAUUUUUGUUGAAAAGGUGAAAGAUCAGUAGUGAAAACGUCACAACUCGGCAACUCCAGUAACAACAUUUUCUCAGGGUGUCCCACUUGUAGUUACGACUUUAAAGGUUGAUCAAGUGAAACUUCCCAGUGGAGAACUCCGAACUUCCGUUAACCCCGACAGCAUGUGAACGCCACAUUAGCCAGAAGAACCAGAUUAAUCAUAAUAGUAGCAUAGCCACUUAGUAUAGUCACUUAGCAUCUCUGUUAGCUUGCUAGCCUAAUAUUCUGGAGUAGGCCGAUGAUUGACUUGAUUGACAUACAGUAAGUGAAGGACAUAGGAACAAAAGAGCAACAAACUUAGUUUGAAAACACAUUACAUCAUUAAAAUAGCCAAAUGAUGUAUAUGAAAAAAGCACCAAGCACGUUAUGCUAUGAGCAUCAAUCUUGCACAUUGCCAAUAUCAUUAUGCAGUGUCAGACCAAUGUCUUUACUUUUUACAAGGCUACGAUAACAGAACCAUUUGUUACCUUGUGUUGAGUGUCCAGACGACUCAAUUGACUUAUUUGGGAGUUGUUACUCUUCAUCUGGUUGCUUCUCAACAUUACUGUGUCUCAUGGUAACUGUGUCCCACCCAGGUCAAUACAUCCAUAUCUAUCUGGAGCUCUGACAGUAGGGGAUCAAAGAGAGUGAGUGGCUGGCUGGUUGCUGGUAGGCUGACCAUCCUACAGCGGGAGCCAUUAUUGUUAGACCAAACACUCCUGAACCCCUUGGGGAUAACCCUUCCCUACUCUUUAUUAAAAAUGGUCCGGCACAAAGUGCAUUUGGAAAGUAUCCAGACCCCUUGACUUUUUCCACAUUUGUUACAUUACAGCCUUAUUCAAAAAUGUCUUAAAUAAUGCCAAAGAAAAACACACUUUUAGAAAUUUGAGCAAAUUUUUUUUAAAGUAAAAAAACAGAUACCUUACUUACACAAGUAUUCAGACCCGUUGCUAUGAGAGUCUAAAUUUAGCUCAGGUGGAUCAUGUUUCCAUUGAUCACCCUUGAGAUGUUUCUAAAACUUGAUUGGACAUGAUUUGGAAAGGCACACACCUGUCUAUACAAGGUCCCACAGUUGACAGUGCAUAUCAGAGCAAAAACCAAGCCAUGAGGUUGAAGAAAUUGUCCGUAGAGCUCCGAGACAGGAUUGUGUCUAGGCACAGAUCUGGGGAAGGUUACCAAAACAUUUCUGCAGCAUUGAAGGUCCCCAAGAACAAUCGGGGCCUUGGUCAGGGAGGUGACCAAGAACCCGAUGGUCACACUGACAGAGCUCCAGAGUUCAUCUGUGGAGAUGGGUGAACCUUCCAGAAGGACAAUCUCUGCAGCACUCCACUAAUCAGGCCUUUAUGGUAGAGUGGCCAAACGGAAGCCACUCCUCAGUAAAAGGCACAUGACAGCCCGUUUGGAGUUUGCCAAAACGCACCUAAAGGACUCUCAGACCAUGAAAAACAAGAUUCUCUAGUCUGAUGAAACCAAGAUUGAACUCUUUGGCCAUAAUGCCAAGCGUCACGUCUGGAGGAAACUUGGCACCAUAUGUACGGUGAAGCAUGGUGGUGGCAGCAUCAUGCCGUGGGGAUGUUUUUCAGCAGCAGUGACUGGGAGACUAGUCAGGAUCGAGGGAAAGAUGAACGGAGCAAAGUACAGAGCAGAGCGAUCCUUGAUGAAAACCUCUCCAGAGCGCUCAGGACCUCAGACUGGGGUGAAGGUUCAUCUUCCAAAAGGUUAAUGACCCAGGGCACACAGCCAAGCCAACGCAGGAGUGGCUUCAUGACAAGUCCCUGAAUGUUCUUGAGUGGCCCAGCCAGAACCUGGACCGAUCGAACAUCUCUGGGGAGACCUGAAAAUAGCUGUGCAUCGACGCUCCCCAUCCAACCUGGCAGAGCUUGAAAGUAUCUGCAGACAAGAAUGGGAGAAACUCCCCAAAUACAGGUGUGCCAAGCAUGUAGCAUCAUACACAAGAAGACUUGAGGCUGUAAUCAGUGCCACAGAUACUUCAACAAAGUACUGAGUAAAGGGUCUGAAUACUUAUAUAAACGUGAUACUUCCAUUUUUUGUUUGUAAUAUAUUUGCAAAAUGUCUAAAAAACAGUUUUUGCUUUGUCAUUAUGGGGUAUUGUGUGCUGGUAAGGAUUUUUAUUUAAUUUAAUCCAUUUUAGAAUAAGGAUGUAACAUAACAAAAUGUGUAAAAAUUCAAGGUGUCUGAAUACUUUCCGAAUGCACUCUAUACUUGUCCAAACCAUUAUAACUUCCAAACUCAUAUACAUCCUAAUAAAACUACUCAAACACAUAUCCUGAUGAACAAUACCUCACUGGCAAACAAACCAAGAUUCCCAAUAUGCAAAACGUGGCUGCUAAACUCCCAUCCAAUGUCUACUACCUACGAUGUGUUUGUUGGUGUCAACUUAAAUAAUUUCUUUAGCUCUGCAAAUAUGAAUAUUGGCAAGUCUUAGUCGAUGGUAGAAAAGUGGUGUGUUGUGUCUCGGCGUGAGAUGAGAUGAUGAAGUAGAACUGAUCAUUCCACAUAAAGGGGGAGAAGACUUCCCUCUCUAUUUGAUUAAACCAAGUCUCAAUAACCAGAGCCAUGAUAGAUGGGAUCCUCACAAAGGAACAUUAGAUCCAACAUGAUUACAUUUAACGCCAAUUCACUUUGCAGCUUUUUUAAUUAACACAAACUAUGAUGAGAUAUUAAUGAUUAUUAGAGGGGGGGGCAGCAAAGGGAUGACACCCCCCCUCCCCCUAUACCCCACCACCCCCCAUACAGGACAAAGAGAGCGUGUGCAAAUCCAAACAUACAGAAUUUAAUAGUGUCAUAUUUAGUGAGAGUUCUCUAUGACAACUUCAAAUGGCCACCUUUAAUGUAAUUAUCCAUCUCCAUGACUUCAAAGCCUAUACUGUGAACAUGAAUAACUGUUGUUUUCCCUCAACUCAUAGCUGUUGGGGAUCAAUCAGACGAGAGCCACUCAUGUGCAUCCAGUCAUCUGUUUAGGUCCAAUCCGCUGAGAGAAUGAUUAGCAACUUAAAGAGAGGAUAGUGUUGAACUUCUAAAGACACACUGACAGUACAGUAUCAUGGAGAUGGUGUUAGAGAAGCCUCUAAAGACACACUGACAGUACAGUAUCAUGGAGAUGGUGUUAGAG
ensembl:lncRNA